AGUCGUAACAAGGUUUCCGUAGGUGAACCUGCGGAAGGAUCAUUAGUGAAUAUAGGACGUCCAACUUAACUUGGAGUCCGAACUCUCACUUUCUAACCCUGUGCACUUGUUUGGGAUAGUAACUCUCGCAAGAGAGCGAACUCCUAUUCACUUAUAAACACAAAGUCUAUGAAUGUAUUAAAUUUUAUAACAAAAUAAAACUUUCAACAACGGAUCUCUUGGCUCUCGCAUCGAUGAAGAACGCAGCGAAAUGCGAUAAGUAAUGUGAAUUGCAGAAUUCAGUGAAUCAUCGAAUCUUUGAACGCACCUUGCGCUCCAUGGUAUUCCGUGGAGCAUGCCUGUUUGAGUGUCAUGAAUACUUCAACCCUCCUCUUUCUUAAUGAUUGAAGAGGUGUUUGGUUUCUGAGCGCUGCUGGCCUUUACGGUCUAGCUCGUUCGUAAUGCAUUAGCAUCCGCAAUCGAACUUCGGAUUGACUUGGCGUAAUAGACUAUUCGCUGAGGAAUUCUAGUCUUCGGAUUAGAGCCGAGUUGGGUUAAAGGAAGCUUCUAAUCAGAAUGUCUACAUUUUAAGAUUAGAUCUCAAAUCAGGUAGGACUACCCGCUGAACUUAAGCAUAUCAAUAAGCGUAAAAGUCG
rnacentral:rRNA from 1 species